rnacentral:rRNA from 1 species
GACGAACCGAGCGAACGUUAUUCGGAAUCACUGGGCUUAAAGGGUGCGUAGGCGGGCUGUCAAGUCUGGGGUGAAAUCCCACGGGCUCAACCGUGGAACUGCCUUAGAUACUGAUGGCCUCGAGGAAGGUAGGGGCAUGCGGAACUGUAGGUGGAGCGGUGAAAUGCGUUGAUAUCUACAGGAACUCCGGUGGCGAAAGCGGCGUGCUGGACCUUUUCUGACGCUGAGGCACGAAAGCUAGGGGAGCAAACGGG